rnacentral:lncRNA from 1 species
UCGAAAAUCGAAAAUCUAUAAAUUCAAAUCACUGCCUCCAGUGGCUUAUGGCUACUGUAUUAAAACUGUUACUUUAGACAACCUUAGAUUAAGAUUUCACAAAAUAAACCCAUUCAAAUUUAGAAUUGAUUGUAACUAAAUCCUCUUCCAUCAAGCAAAGUAGUUCAAGAGAGAAUUUUUUUUUGCAAAACACAGUUUAGCAUACUUUGAAAAUGUAUGGCUAUGUGGUCACAUAUUUGUGUUUAUAGAGUACUAUACAAGGGCUUCAUUCACAAUCAAUGGCUGCAACUAUCUGUUCUAUAAAUUAGUUACAACUACUGGUAGAGAAUACAGACCACCUUUCUGUUAAUAUUUAAUGUUGCUUAUGGGGAAACUAUGCAUAGUGAGAUGACUACCGUUAUAGUGUAUAGUCUCUACAGCCACAGUUGACACAGAAUGUAUUGCGGUCAGUCACCUUUGAAACUAAAACGGGGUUUGACUGACCUUCAGCUGCCUGCUGGUCGGACUCACACAGACACACGUUGAGUAUUUAGUGUUUUAUUACAACAAUCCAAAUACAAAUGGCAUUACACAUAAGUUACAGAUCAAUACAUACAUACAUACAAUCCUUGAUAAAGUGUAACAUAUUGCUUAAGCUUAAUAAAUAGCUUUCCCUUGCUCUGUUCAGGUAUUUUUUCCCAGAAUGCAGCAGACAGGCAGCUAGAGUCCGGCCAGUAGAGAGCGCUAGUGUGGUCAGGGACUUAACCGACCUCCACUUUCAAGGCCCUGAAAGACUUCAAGAUGACCCCCAACCUUGUGGUUGGUUACCUCAUAAUUAUUAAAAUCAUGGCAGAGCCUCUAGCGACCUUCCAGCAAACAAGCCUUCAACGAACAAGCCAGUGUAAGAGAACAAGGCUCUCUCGCUCUAUACAAAUACAAAUGAUAUAUAUGCAAAAAGUACACACCCUAUGUGCUCUGCUAAAAAUAACCUUUACAGAAGGCAAGCUUAAGUAUGGGCAGGUAUCAGAGAGAAUAAGAUAUAAAGGAAGUGCUCAUUAGAGAGGAAAACAUAAAAAACACUGGUUUA